UUUUUUUUUUUUUUUUUUUGUGAAAUUUUAUAUUGCGUGCGUGCGUUGGAAGGGUAAUUUGGUCAAUUCAUGAAAUCAUCGGCAUCGCGCACAACGUGCCAAAUUUAAGCCCAAAACUGGGCGGUCCAACCCAACCCAAUUGUACUUGAUUGAGAAGCUUGUGACAGACCGCAUUCCCCACGCUACUCGAAAGGCCUGUGUUUCCAUCCAAAUAUUGGCCGCAGCUCCUAGCUCCGUACAACGUUCCAUUUGAAAGAAAAAUGUCUUCGAACUGAUUUGUUCCGUUCUUCCCAUCUUCAAAACAAGAACAGCGUGCAAGGCCAAAAAAGAAGAGAAAAACAGAAAACUGAAGCCAAAAAGCUCAGGAGAGGAUACUUCUUCUUAGCCCCAAAAAAUUCAGUUAACCCGCAAUUUGAUUUGAGUUCUGCAUCUCAAGAAAUCCAAUUACAACAGUAAUGUAGACCCAAAUUGGUACUCCAAUCAAUUUGUUGAGAGAGCUCCCAAAGUUUUAUGCCGAAGACCAUCAUAUUUAACCACCGCUACAAGCAGCCAUAAUAUGCGCUCUACCAGCGCCAACCAUGACCACCUAUUCACUACUAAAAAAACACUAAGAAGGGGGGGCAGCUUUGUUACAAGAGGCUAUGUUAGCACAAACCAUCAUUGCCUACUGGUGGUCGCACCAUAAGUCAAAGAGUCCCUCUCUCUCUCUCUCUCCCCGUUUCAUUUACAACAACAACACAUAUAUACAAAAAUUGCCAUGUGUUGAUUGCAGCAAUUGUAUCAUCCGCGCGUCAGGUCAAUCUCUGUCUGGGGAUUCCUCAAGUCUGGCCGGGAAACAGGAGGCCAACCACCUGCUCCAGAGUUUCCUGUAGGAUCCUGACCAGGAGCACCACUACCCAGUGCUGAUGACUUGUCUUCAGACUUGGGUACUAUGCUCUUGUCAUCUUUAUCACUAGCUUCUGAUUUGCUCUUUCCCUUGGUACCACCAUAUACAAAACUGCAGACCACGACCUAUACAACAUCCAAAAACCAACUUAAAUGAAAAUGUUCAUAACCUCGAAAACAAACACCAAGUGAUUAGAACACUCUUUAUCUCCCCCCAUGAUAUCAUCCUUCCUCAACCUCCACGGGGCAGCCAAAACACGAGGAGAAAAGGUAGGAAACACACGUUGAUGCCUCCAGAUUCAUAACAGUACCCACCCACUCGACUUACCAACAAGAUCCCCAUCAACAUAAAAAUUUAGGUAACAGAAGCUGCCAAAAAGAAGGUACUAAGCCGAGAAAGUACCUGAGCUGGGCUUGAGGCUAUAAGCCUACCCCCUAUUGCACCGCCAAUGACAUGCCCAUCAGGACUACAUACAGAUAUGCUAAGACCACCAGUCCUAUUACGAGGGCCACCACUUUCAGCAAGCAAAUAGGAACCAGACAAGCAUAAUAUCUCAAAACGGCCCUGAAAAAUUAAAUAAAAUAGAUGUCAUUGGUUUGCAACAGACACAAAUUCUCAGAGAAGAAAAAUCAUCACUGUUGCCAACAGCAAAGAUUUAUAAAAUUAUAUGACAACUGACACUUUAACCAUUAAAAAACAAUUAUAGACCUGCUAGCACGGCCAUAACCUAGAAAACUUGACGUUGUCCCCAAAAAAACAAGGCAGGGAGCAUUAUAAUUACGUCAUCCAAACAAAGUUUUACGCAUAAGACAAAGCACAAAAUUACACAACUUGAUAUGCAUAGAAAUUUAAGCAAGUCCAUGGAACAACAUGAUUUCUUUUGGGGGGUAAAUAAGCAUUUGUACACAAGGAAAAUGCAAACAAUAAGGCACAUAUUAAGGGUAACAGAAAACAACACACCAACCAACAAAACAUUACACAACAUCUGAAACUAAUCAAGCAUAAAAUCCGGUGUCUGGUAGUAAUCAAGUCCACUAAAGCCAACUGUUAGUAACCAAGUCCUCUAAAGCCAACUGUUUAUGUAGGACAUCUUAACUCUGUGUAGAGAGCAUACAACUUGAUGCAGCAUGAUAGAAAAACACAGACCCAGAGUGUGCACAUACAGGAUAUAUUCCACACAAAUAGCUUUACACAAUCUAUUCAGCUUAGAUAUAAAAGCUAUCCAAUAGAAAACAACAUUUACUAAUUAACUAUUCUGGAAUUGCCAAAAAGUUUGACCAAACAAAAACUUGAGACAAUAAAAAGCUACAUCCUUGUAUUCACAAGUGACCACCAAGUUCUUUAUACCUGCUUUGCAAAGAAAAAAAAAACUCAUGGGCAUGCUGUUUGGUUACUACCCAGAUAAGUACCACAAAAAGCCCAUGUUCAAGGUAGGACUGACAUUUUGUAGGACCCGAAUCCUUUUGACUUCUAAAAAAUGCAGAUUAUAUCAGGGUAUAAAUCAUAAAAAAACCUUUCUUGCUUUCCACUUCCCUCACCCCACAAACACCAAAUGAAUUGUAAGCCCCUUUCCACCACCAAAAUUAGCAUGUGAAAAAAAUCUUUCAGACCCUACAAGAAAAUAGUCAACAGAUAAAAGGCAAUACAUAUGAAAUUUGUUUUGCAAAACAAGCUCAAGCUUGAGGACACUUGACAGAAUGAAUGUGCAUUGUUUUUUUGUAGCUAUUGACAUUGAGUAACAGUACUACGAAAUUAACAUUGGAAGGUGCUUCUAGAAAGAAUCUCAAUAGCCAUCACUGGUUUUUAUCCCAGGGUCUGAAACAAAAGGCAUGUAGUUCUACGUCUAACGUAAAAUAAAAUGAAAAAAGAAGCAGCAACAGAAAAAGGAUUCAUUCUACUCCAUUUAUUUAUGUAGCUGACAGCAUCUAACAGAUGAAAAAUAAAAUUAAGCCAGCUCAACAUAAAAAGGGUUCACUCUUCUCCAUUUAAUCAUGCAGCUGACAGCAUCUACUGGAUGAAAAAUAAGGUCAAAAGACCUCGAGAAGACACAAAUAAUUAUUAAUAAUGACAACACCAAGAAGAAGACACAAAUAAGAUAAAGAUUCUAUCCCCGUGAUAGAGCAGUGAGGCUAGACGAACUGGGAUCAGGUUGAGCAUGUAGAAUCAAAAAAGUUAAAUACUUGGCAUCUAAAUGAACUCAAUUUCCACAAUUUUUCUGAAGUAAAGAUGGUCCACCCCCAAAACGUCAAUCUUUCCACAGAAACUGCUGCAUUUGAAUGAAACAACUUAGGAUGGGGAACAAGAAGAUUCCAUGUUAAUAGCAUGGCAAACAUAUUAUAGUGCAAAUGAUAAAAUAUUUUAUUAUAACUACAAAAAGGGUUCAUUUCAAUGUAGACCAUUUUUAAAAUAAAAAAGGCAAAAAAUUCAAAUGCAUGCCAAUAAAUAUGAUGAUAAAUCAUAAACCAUCACAGCAGACUUCACCAAAAUCUCCAUGUGUAUGUUGUAUAUUGCCUGUAUAAUUCGAAAGUUGAACAUCUCUGUCAAAGAUCACCAGCCCAUGGGCAAAAACUUUUACAAAUUAUAAAGAUAAGGUACAAAAAUGCUUCUAAAUUUGAGUAUAAGGCACUAAAAAAGCCUGAGUUUGACCUCAUAUGUUACAGUGCCACCAGAGGUUGUUGGCUGCCGGAGUGUUACAGCAGAUACCGAACCAUUAGCUGACAAAAUGCACAAAGCCCUUGGCCUCUGUUGUGCAAAUGAUAAUAUCUUUGCAGCAAUAUCCUGCAGUCACAUUACCCACAGUUGUUACUGAAGCAUGCAACUCAAAUUAAAGACAUAUACUAGAGAAGUUUUUAUCAACACCAAUAAUCCAUCCACUUAGCAUGAAUGGUCCACAAUUUGUGGCUUUGACAACAAGAUUGCAUCACAACAAUUGUAGUGAAGCAUGUUCUAUCAGCAAGAGUUGCAUGCUUAAACAAGAAUUUUAUAGAUAUACAAGACAACAUUCAGCUCAAUUAGAUUUCCACACCCAAAAAAAUGGAAUAAAACAAAAUAUAUAGAUCUCUAUAACUAGCUCAUAUUCAUACAGGCACCAUCCUCUUCCUUUUAAUCACUUUGAUCUAGAAACACUCUAGAUCAGGAUAGGCAACAUAUAAUGCAUAUUGGAGCGAACCAAUGCAUAUUCAAUACCUCUCCAACUCCAACAUGAAUGACAUGCGGUGUGAAAGCUAGUCCAGCAGUACUAUUCAUCCAAUCACCUGCCACCAAAAAUAAAAAAUAAAAACAAAAACUAUGAGCUCAAGAAAAGGGUGCCAUACUAUAAAAUCACAAUAAUUUAUCAAUGUCUCUUAAUCGGAACAUACAAUUACUAGAAAAGCAAUGCAAGAGGCUGAUCUAUAGGAUCUUAAGUUCAAUUUUGACCAUGAAAACUACAAUUUCAGUUGCAUCUACUACCGAACUAAGUAGCAGAAUAUUCCAUCAAUGUAAUUUUAGUUUCACUAAAGUCAAACUACAAAGCAGACAUAUACGCAUUUAUCAAAGACAUUGUAAGAAUUUGAAUAGGGAAAACUCCAUAAAAGACUCAUACUUUGAUUAAAAAUCGGAGAACAAAAACUAAACUUCCCACCUAGGACUCACGCAAAAAUCCCCAGUAGAAAAGCAGUUUCAGAAAUAAAGCAAGAGCAACCUGAAGAUCCUAUUUUGAAGUACAGUACUCAAUUAACCAACUAAUAAUAGUCUUAAGUCUCAUAUAGGCUAAAAUAAAACAAUGCAUAUAAAUACAACACGAAUUAAUCAAGAAAACAAAAACUUACCAAGUGGAGCCAAUCGCUGUUUCCAUCCACUACCAGGCGGCCGCCCCCGACUUUUUUUGGAGCCCCCAGGCGUGAUUGAUCCCGGGGAUGGCGUAGAAGAGAGGGGAGACAAUCCUAAAGCCAUAUUAGCCCCAGCCCCAUCAGGGCCAUACUUUCUAGGCCUCCCUCUCUUCUUCUUCACAGUUUCAACAGGUGUAACAGUAGAAGCCAUGGACAUAGUAAUGCCAUGAGCAUAACUGGGUGAAGGGUUCUCUACUUGGAAUGCGGAGCCCAUAGGAGCACCACCACCCCCUACAUUUGACUGCACUGAAAUGUUAGGGUUUGUAAGGGUCUUAUAACCAGGAGGUGCGGGCACCCCUGUUGGGGUCAUUGAGCCCCCACCCCCACCGCCCCCAACAACACCAACUCCUACACCAGACCCUGAAUUAGACCCACCAACCCCACCACCUCUAUUGAGGUAAUAUGAAGCCAUUCCUUCUCUUCCAUCCAUGCAUUUACUCAACGAAAUUUAACCCCAAAAGGACUCCUUUUUUUAACCUACUUUGCAAUAAAAUCCACACUUGCAAAACAAAAAUCCACUCUUUGAACAAACCUAGCCCAAAUCUAAAACCGACCCCCCUACAGAAAUCUGACUACAAAACCGAAAUCUUAACAGAGAAAAGAUACACCAUAACUUCAAAAAAUUAAUAAAUUAGAGGAAAAUCAGAACAAGGGUUUAACAUGGGUUUUGGAGAAAUCAUGGGAAAAAAGCAGACAAUUUUGGAAAGAGAAAUCUUCAAGUUAACACUCACCAAAAAAGUGUAAAAGAUGCAGCAAAACUGAAAAAGAUUGAAACUUAAACAAAAUUCUUUAGUUAAAGAUCACGGAAACCAGAGCUAAAUUAAGAAGAAUGCUGAAAACCCAUGGUUUCACAGACCCCCACAAAUGAUAGCUCAAAAUCGAUAGUUCUUGAGAGGGUGCUCAGAUAGAUAAAGAACUAAAGGAAAAAGAAAAAGAAACCCUAGAUUUGAAAUGGGGGAGAGGAAAUGAGAGAGAGAGAGAGAGAUGGGCAGCAUGAGUUUUGGGAAAGAGGGAGGGAGGGUAAAGACAAAAGUGAAAUGAAAUAGAAAAUACUACUGAACUUUUGAAUUAAAGUAAGAGAAGGCUAGGCUUUCUUUCUAAUUUUUUUUUUUUUUUAAAAAAGAAAAUUCAAAAUUGUAUGGUUUAACUUUUAUAAAAUAAUAAUUUAUGGAAAGGGUUUCAGGGGGCGAUUUAGUGAUCAGUGACGGUGUUUCUCUGACUUGAGGUCUUUGAGGGGUGGAGGCCUGUUGGAGGACAGUUGGGUGCACCUAAGGACUACCAACUUGUCCAUAUCAGAAUACUACUGCUACAGUACUGGUACAUGAAAUUUCUUGGGACAGGGUAUCCUUUUCUUGCUCUUUAUUUGAAUCUCUCCACUGCCUUCUUCCUUCUUCUGAUGAAUUUAAUGAGAACUUUCUUUUUGUGGGAUUGCUUCGCGCUGCUUUUUGGACUUGGGAUGGAGCAUUCAUUGACAAGAGACCAGAGUAUGACUGAUGAGAGAGAAGGACGCUUCUUGUGAGUCACCCAUGAGAGAGAGAGAGAGAGAGAGGAGAGAGUUCAGAGUUGAGUCAAAAGAAGUUUGAAAAGAAAGGAAAAAAACAAACAGGGGCUGAAACAUUUGAUGAUGGCAAGAAAUUUGGGCAGUAGUUCACUUCAAACCAAAAAGAAAAUAUGAUCAAUUCAAUUCCCCAUCUCAUAAACAGUUGUAAAAUCAAAUAUAAACACUCGCUCAAGUUUAGAUCAAGAAGAUUUCUCACAAAACAAAACAAAACAAAAAAAUUCGACGAAUACUUGUACUAGCAGUCCGAGAUAAGCAUAUCUUGAUUAAGAACAGCCAUGAUUUGACUGAAGAAAGGGGUCAUGCUUUUUCUUCUUGUACUUGUUGUUGGAGGAGCUCUCUAUGCUAUUGCGAAUGAACUAUACAUUUAUUUCGCUUAAUUGACAAAAGAAUAAAAAAUUUACAGUUAGUUUGCUAACGAGUAAUUAUGAUGAUCCUAGUCAAAUUCGUUAUGCAAAAGAAGUCAAAACUCUUUUGAUUAAAUAAAAUAUAGCUGCAAAAGUAGGUAGCCGAAGGAGAGAACAGACGUUAUCCAUCCCUCUGCCAAACAUGCAAGAAGUUCGACAUUUUGGAAAUUGUACCGGGAAGAUUCAUUUUCCCAAUUCAAAAUUGCGUCAAGCACUCAUUUUUUUCCCCAAUUUUAGUACUCAUUUUGUAUUAUAGAUAUAUAGACUAGCUCAUUUCUUCUGUCAAAUUUAUUAGUUCAUAUUUUGUUGAGCACAACAUGAGAAUAGUUCGGGUCAGCAGGGGUGGGCAAAAUUAUCCGUUAACCCGAAAAUUCAUAAAAUUAGGAUAUUCGAUUUUUAUUAUUUGAUCGGGUCAAAAGAGAGUCGGAUACCGCUAAGAUGCGGGACGGAUUACGGUCACAUAAUUAAAAACUCGCGGGUACCCAAUCCGCCCCGCAUAUAUAUAUUUUUUAUUUUUAUUUUUAUACACACACUAUAAAAUAAUAAUUUAGAACUAAAUAAGUAAUUUUAUUGAACAAAUUGCAUUACAAAUAUGAGAGACUAUAAUUUAUUUACAAUAUUCAUUUGUAGAGGUCAUGAUCUUAUAUUUUAUAGAAAAAAAGUUUAAUUAAUGUGAAACAUAUAUAUUAAAAAUUGUAUCACUUAUUUCAAACUUUUAUUGAUUUUGAAUUUUUUACCUUUAUCUUAUAUUUUCUUCACAUGCUUGUUUGUUAGUGAUAGGGCUGCAAACGAGUCGAGUCGAGUCGAAUUUUGAGCUAAUCGAGUCAAGUCUCGACUAAAUUUUAUCAAGCUCGAGCUUGACGAGCCGGCAAAUUUCGAGCUUGAGCUCGACUCGAAUCAAGUCGAGCCGAGCUCGAGCUCGAAAAAAAAUAAAAAAUACUUAUUUUAUUUUUAAAAAAAUAAAUAAAAUAAUAUUUUUUCUUAAUAAAUAAUAAAAUAUUAAGGAUAUAUACGUAAUUUUAUUAUGAAAAUAAAAAAUAUAUAUAUACUAUACGUAAUUUUAUUAUUAAAUAAAAAUAAAAAUAAAAAAUAUAUAUAUAUACCCAAACUCGCGAACCGGCUCGCGAGUUAACGAGCUUAAUAUUCUGAGCUCGAGCUCGACUCGAGCUUGACUCGAGCGGCUCGAUUCGUUUGUAGCUCUAGUUAGUGAGAAACCUUUUUUGAGAAAAAAAAUUAUUAAAUUUUAGAUGAAUGUCUAAAAUAUAAAAUUAAAUUAAUAUAAAUAAUUUUUUAAAAAAAUUAAAUGAUAAAUGAGACGAAACAGGUACCCGCUGACCCGACCUUAUCUCAAUGAGUACCCUAUAAUCGGGUACCCGCUGAUAUACGGGACGGAUAAAGGUCAGAAAAUAAUUGACCCGCAAAAUACAAGUCGAAUCAAUCAAAUGAUGAAUAGAGCGAGUACCCGACCCGUAUCCACUCAUACGGUCAAUAGAGCGAGUACCCGACCCGUAUCCUAAUCCUACAAUCCUAAUGUGAAAUUUUUAAAAGAAUUGACAAAAUCUCUAAGGCCAUUAAUCAGAGUCGAGUGUCAAGUGUAACAUUUAUGUAACACGAAGACAUUUUGUGCUCUGCACUAUCAUAAAUGAUGGGAUAUGGGCAGCACAGUUGACCGAUGACCGUUGACCGCUGCUUUCCAAAGAUGAUAUCUAAUAGACUGUCUUUAUUGUAGUGUACGAGCAGUAGCAUCUCCAUCCAGGCCCAGUCACGGGGGUGCCCGUACCGAACACAAAAUGACACAUGGUCAUCUUAGUCAAGCGUUCAGGCAUCUAUGCUUGCUUAAAAUUUAAAACAUGUACUAUAACAGUAGUGCAUUUCUUUGGUUUAGAAGUGAGAUGUACUCCCCCGAAUUUCCUUUGGCCCAAUUAAACGCCCUAGCACUGAUUAGACACCGAUCUACGUAAAUUUGUCGAAGCUUGAAAGUUUUUCUACAUCAAGAAUUUCACUAUUUUGCCAAGUUAAAAGGGUCCCAAUUUGAGCACUCCAUUACAAUUCUGGUCCUAAUUUGAGCGCAGUCCAUUAUAGUUCUGGAUUAGACCAGUAAUAAUGACCAUAUUUCAUGUAUCCUCCGCCAGUAAGCCAUGCAAAAAGAUCGAAUAUGGAGGCAUCUUCCAUCCCCACCGGCAAAUUGGAAGCACUAGAUAUUUCUCAUAAACUCAGCAUUCAGACUGUAAUAACUCUAUGAUAGCCCCGUUCUUCAGUACUACGCUACAUACACUUGACCAAGUUGCAGAAGGCCUACUGCAAAAGAUGUGUGAUGAUGCGUUCCCACCGAAAGAAUCAGUGCUACUCUUAAGAAAAUCUUACUUGGUCGAUUCUGAAGUGUGACUUCUAUUCACGAAAUCCAAGUACCCCUGUCAAAGAUAAGCACUUAAAUUAGAUCCCAAAAUGAAACAAUGAAACAUCUAAUUCAAUCGCAAACAAAUCAAGUAUAACUAUUGUUUCAUAGCUAAUGGGAAAUAGGACCAUUAUGGUUUAGAUAUAAACAUUCAACAUCUGAAAUGCUCCUAAUUUUACCCAAUUAAAGGAUAUCGCAAUAAAACUAAAAUACACUGCAAUUAUCAAACUGGUAGCUCAGGAAGGUUCCCAUGAAGACGAAAAGACUUGGUAACACAAUACACUGCAAUGAUCAAGGUAUUUUUUUGUUUCCUUUUUUCCUUUAACGCAGGGGAGGAGUGGAAUUUAAGAAGCAGGGAGUGCGAACAGGAAUUUGAACUCAGGACUCUGAUUCCUAAGGCCUCAACCUUAGCCUCUAGACCUAGGCUUCCUUGGCACAAUAAUCAAAAUGGUAACACUGCAGAGUUAUCUGACCAGAAAUUGCUUCUUACCUCUUACACAGGCUAAUCUACCAAACUCAGUCAUACUCUGCAGUUUAUAUAAUCAAAACUUCAGUACAAUGGGAAGAUUAUUGUGACCUGUAGGAUUCCAACAGCAGCAAAUUUGUCCAUUAUUGUCUUAUAAUGAACAGGGUGCAAAUUCAGUGGCUUCAACAGAAAUUCCACAUUCUGCAACGAAACCAUUCACAUUAUUAUUAUUUGCUAAUGCCACCAUUAGAUGAAAGGGCUAGAAAAGAUGAGGCUAACUAUCUACAAAAGAAGAAAGAAGACUAUCAAAUCAGUAAUAUCAAGAUGAAACACAUUUCACAGUUUUGCAAUUCCAGAUCUGAUAGAUUCCUUCAAUCUGGUAAUACAAUCUAAGCAUGACUAUAUCCAGAAUGAAGAUUUGCAUUGCAAUUUUAAGUACCAACAAGGAGGUUGCAAACAUCUAAUGAUUAGGAACCAUUUCAUGCUAUCAACUGCUUCCCUUGAUAAAGGCCAUUCAGUAUCAUAAAAUUACUUCUUCAAUAUCAGCGGUUAGAAGCACCCACCUUUGAAGUAAAACACUCAUCCCAGAAAGUAUACCUUACACCUUCAAGUUUCCCUGUUUUACAAAGAUCAUCAAUAAAAAGCUUCACUUGCACAGCCUGCAGGAGAGAACAAUAAUGAAUCAGGGGAAGACGAGCCAUUAUACUUGUGAAGAGAGAAUCCAUAUCUUUAUAUUUCACUGAAUAAGAUAUAGUUCACUGGAAGAAAAAGAAGAAGAAGAAUAAGAGGAAAACACACAUCUGCGCUGUUCCUCUGUUGUCUAUCAAAAGGAUAGCCAAUUACAAAGCCUGUCAGGGAAAGUUGAGAGAUCUGCAGACAGAGAAAGCAUAUAAGAAAUGAAUCUAAAUUUCAUCAAAAUAAUCUAGAUAUUCAGGUUAUAAAAAUCCACUAUGCAAUUAGAAGCAAGAGUGGCAUCAUAAUCCAUGUAAAUGUGAAAGAUAGAAACUGAAGGAUUGAAUCUUUUGGUUCACAAAGUAUGCAAUUCAUAUUGGUACCUUCAAAAAAUUCAGAAGGAAACAAAAGUGCAGAAGGCAAAAAGGCAAUAUCAUUAGUUCUUUAUGUUUAUUCCAUGAAACAUCUUAAAGUAAAAUAGGUGUAUUCCCCCGAAGAAUAUUCAUAUCAACAAAUUCAAACAGCUCUGAAAACAAUAAAUCAUAAAAUUAAAACAUCUGAAACAAAAUAGUCAUGCCAAAUCUUAGGACUGUGAUCUUAAUUGAACAAUUUACCGUCAAAAGCACAACUUUUCCAUCAGUGAUACAAGUUAUUUUUAAUGAUCAUAGGACUAAUACAACUCACUCCAUCCACAGUUUAAAGCAGCAUCUCAGCAGUAAAAGCAACUUGCCAUAGGUGCUAGCUUAAGGAUGCUUUCAUUCGAGAAGAUAGUGAUGAAUAGUUUCUUCAGUUAAAUUCAGUGAGGCACCUCUAACAAUAGAAGCUUAAUAAAAUUACUCUAACAACCCAAUACCCAAUUGGAAAAAUAAUCCAAAAUAAUCAUCUUUAAGUCAAAAGAUCCAAAAAUAAACUCUACCCACUGUCUUGCUCAGUGCAGAUGAGUUAGUUAAAUAAACAAAAAGAACAAUAAAAAGUUAAUACUAACCAGAAGUUCAAAAUCACUGGCCAUCAAGUCAAUGUUACUUUUCUUCCGUAGCAGAACACUGCAACCAGACGUCAACCAUGUUCAUCCCAUGCAUUGUAAAAUCAUAGUGAACUACUCUACAUUACUUUAAAAAUGUUCUCGGGUCCUCCGACGCAUUCAUUAUAAUCAUGGAAGACCGCAAUUCUUAAGCUCCUAGAUAGGCAAAUAUUACCUGAGAGGUGAUGCGAUUUUGUUAUUUACAUCAGAAACAGCUAAACCCACAUAUUUAUCACCGACAUCUAAACCAAGUAACCGGCUUCUGUUCCGUGAAUUUGUCUUUAUCAGUUCUUGAAACAAGUUCGCGGGCUUCAUGUACUUCAUCCCUGUAAUGCAUCAAAUUCCAUAGUGCAACUUUAGAAAACACCUUCUAAAGUAAAAGGGUAGAUUAAUGAGUUAAUUCAAGAAAAGUAAAGUAGUAGCUAAAACUAUUCUGAGCAGUAAUCAGAAAAAAGAAAAACAACCGAGCAACUUCAGAUAGACAUUUUCACAAACACUUGGUCCACUAGCAUACUUGUUUUAUAAGGGCUUCGGGAGUUGGGACUCUCUCUCUCUCUCUCUCUAUCUCUUCACUUGUGUACAUGUACGUAAAUCGUAGUGUUCGGAAAAGAAGCGGGAGAGAUUUACCUUCAUAUGGAAAAUGCAGCCCAGAGCCUGAAAUUAUACGACCAGUUUUCUGGAGAGGGAGGAUGCACUAGUUGAAAAUCGUUUCUUAAAACAGCUGGAAAAAAAAAACAAAAGAAAUAAUUUCUAGUAGGCCUCUAUGACUAUGAGAUUGAAGGCGACCGACACUAGGCUGAUUGCAAGAGUGGAUCCAUGGGGAUGAAGUGCCCAAUGGGGCAUUUCAACUGGCUCAUUCGCUAGAACCAUGUUUGGGCUGCUAAGGGCCCAAUAGGUCCAAUACGGCUAAUUUCCUCUUAUUUUUAUUUUUCCUUUAUUUAUUUAUCUAUAAAAAGUCCGAUUUGUCUUCGGGUUUAUUUUUGGUUUUCGACCAGGAUUGAAUUACUUGAUUGAGUAGUUUGAUUGGUAUACCGCUCAAAGGAAAAAAAUCGAUUCAUUUGGUUUGACCUUGCCUGUUAUAAUAGAAUAUGCACCUGCAAGUAUAAAUAUAUGAAAUACGUGCAGAACUUCAAAUUCAAAUGCAAAUUAUGACUAUGCAGUAUAUAUCUAAACUCACUAAUAUAUAUAUAUGCAUUGUAAAAAAGAUCGACCAUAUUCAUUUAUGUAUUGAAUUCUUGUAACUACUUAUUACGUAUAGGGGUUUCAACCACUAAGUAUUUUCAAUGAUGAUUGAAAAUGUAAAAUCAAACGAAGAAAGUGCACUAUCAACAUUAAUGCAUACCACGUUACAUAUAGGUCCAUUUGGGAUUGCGGGCGUUUACCCAAAAAAAAAAAACACAUUUAAACACAAAGUAUUUCUAAAGUGUUUGACAACUAUGUAUUUCCCAGGCCAUAACUUACCAGUUUUUGAUAGCUUAAAAACAAUUAUGUAUGAUGAAAAACAGUUUUGGUAGAAGUAGCUCUAUAAGAAGUAUUCGCAACUCCAAACGAAGUCUAAACUAGCAUAGAAAAUUUGAGUUUUGAUUUUUGUGUCCUCAACAUUAUAGCUAACUUGACAUGGAAUGUCCUAAUAAGUCAUUGUUCAAAAAAAGGAAGCGUAAAAAAUGGCCCUCUAUUUUAUUUUCUAUUCUGGGUUAUCUAAAGACUACGAAGUAGAUAAAAAAAAACAAGGAGGAGGAGGGGUCGUGUAAGAAUCAAUUGAAUCAAUUGAAUGAAAUUGAU
rnacentral:lncRNA from 1 species